GAUGAACGCUAGCGGCAGGCUUAACACAUGCAAGUCGAGGGGUAUAGUUCUUCGGAACUAGAGACCGGCGCACGGGUGCGUAACGCGUAUGCAAUCUACCUUUUACAGGGGGAUAGCCCAGAGAAAUUUGGAUUAAUACCCCAUAGUAUGUUAGAGUGGCAUCAUUUUAACAUUAAAGUUCCAACGGUAAAAGAUGAGCAUGCGUCCCAUUAGCUAGAUGGUAAGGUAACGGCUUACCAUGGCGACGAUGGGUAGGGGUCCUGAGAGGGAGAUCCCCCACACUGGUACUGGAACACGGACCAGACUCCUACGGGAGGCAGCAGUGAGGAAUAUUGGACAAUGGGCGCAAGCCUGAUCCAGCCAUGCCGCGUGCAGGAAGACGGUCCUAUGGAUUGUAAACUGCUUUUGUACAGGAAGAAACACUCCCUCGUGAGGGAGCUUGACGGUACUGUAAGAAUAAGGAUCGGCUAACUCCGUGCCAGCAGCCGCAGUAAGAC
rnacentral:rRNA from 1 species